rnacentral:lncRNA from 1 species
GCAGUGCUCAGGGCACAAGGUGAGGACUUGGCACUAGAGAACUGGAGGCAAUGUCUGUGAAAGUUCCAGGAUGAGAUGCUGGUGCAGAACAGGCUGGGAAGAAGGCACUUGUUCUCAAGGGAAAUCAAGGUUCCUCUUGGAGAAAGGGGGCCGUGCUGCCAUCGGGAAGAAAUUAGAACUCUGAAUGCAGAAUGGGCACACCCAGUGUUCCUCAGCAAGUUCAAACUGGAGUCAGGACUGGAGCCCAGGCUAGGUUAAUAAAAGGCUGAACAGCUAAUGACUGGGCAGAGAAGAUAGAAAUGCUGGAAUUCUGAUCCCAGCCAGGGAUCUUCCGAGGGAGAAGAGCCAGGAGAAUGAGUUCACAAUAAGGCAGAAGAUGGUCUAGCGGAAGAAAUUGGCCACAAGGAAGGUGGAGGAAGGAAGAAGAGGAGAGGGAAGAGGAGGUCACCAUGAGGCUGGGCAUGAGGAGGAGUCAACAAGGAAGUUCUCCAUGAGGACAGACAUGGAGCAGAGCAAGUCAAGGAGAGACAAAAUAUAGGUAACCUGGAGCAUGUGUUUGGCUAAGUAGUUAGAUAUCAUACGGGGACAGGAAUAUUUGUUCUAUUAUUGUGCAUAAAUCUUGUUGAA